GAAGUGUCUAGCAGGAGAAGGAAGCUGUGGUCAGAGGGCUGAGUGUCAGCCAGAAAGGACUAGGACUUUGCAUGGAGUAGACUGAGACAGAGGAAGAGCUCCACAUGUGGCAGAAGAAUCAUUGGAAAAGUAAGCGGAGUUGACGGGGACACCGCAGCAGUCGACUUGCCACCGUGAGGAUGGCCAGAGAGGAGAGGAGAACUGGUGCCUAUGUGUCUGCCUCUUACUUGGACAGUCAUUAAGGAUCAUCAGCAAUGGAAUAAGCCUUGUUCUGACAGAACAAUGGGAUGGCUGCAAUCUAAGUCAAACCAGCUUUUCAAGUCUGGAUCCAUGUUGGUGGCAACCAAGCAACACACCACCUGACAGGGGACUUUUAUCACAAGAUGGGUCUUUGACACUAACCAGGAGAGUCACAUGACAGAGGGGACAGGACGUUAUAAAAAGACCAGAUUCUCUCUAAGCAGCUCUCUCACUGACCAGAACAGACAGAAGAUACUGAGCUGGGAGAAGCAAGGUCAGGAGAGAGGACCUGGAAACCCUUGAAAGCACUGACCAAAUCCUAAAGAAAGCAUGCAUCAGACUUUACACUUUACCUACACAUGGAAGUGGCAAAUAAAUAAUGAUUUGGAACAAUGGAUACUGCUUUAUAAAUGCAAGACCAAACUCAGUUUCCAUGAUCCUUUGUGACACUAACACAUCUGGAAGUGGUCCGUCCAGAACUUCAUUAAUGAUGUUUAUUUAAUAUAUAACACUCUGAAAUAAA